UGAAUACGAGACGCUAAGGCGUCGAAGUAGUGUAUGUCAUACUUCCAAGAAAAGCUUGCACUGUCAUAGAUAAAAAACGCCUGUACCAUAACCGACACAGGUGGGUAGGUAGAGUAUACUAAGGGGCGCGAGAUAACUCUCUCUAAGGAACUCGGCAAAAUAACUCCGUAACUUCGGGAGAAGGAGUGCCUUAUUAUUAAGGUUGCAAUAACAAGAUCCAAGCAACUGCUUAUCAAAAACACAGGUCUCCGCUAAGUCGUAAGACGAUGUAUGGGGGCUGACGCCUGCCCAGUGCCAGAAGGUUAAAGAAGCUGGUUAGCAUUUGCGAAGCUAGUAACUGAAGCCCUGGUGAACGGCGGCCGUAACAAUAACGGUCCUAAGGUAGCGAAAUUCCUUGUCGGGUAAGUUCCGACCCGCACGAAAGGCGUAAUGAUUUGGAUACUGUCUCGGAGAGGGGCUCGGUGAAAUAGACUUGUCUGUGAAGAUGCGGACUACCUGCACCAGGACAGAAAGACCCUAUGAAGCUUUACUGUAACUUGAAAUUGAAAUUGGACUUUAUUCGCGCAGUAUAGGUGGGAGGCGUUGAUUAUAAUCAUGCGGGAUUAUUGGAGCCAUUAGUGAGAUACCACUCUUGUAAUGUUAGAUUUCUAACUUUGAAUCAUUAUCUGGUCAAAGAACAGUUUCAGGCGGGCAGUUUGACUGGGGCGGUCGCCUCCUAAACGGUAACGGAGGCGUACAAAGGUUUCCUCUGAACGGUUAGAAAUCGUAUCUAGAGUGUAAAGGCAUAAGGAAGCUUGACUGUGAGACCUACAAGUCGAGCAGGGACGAAAGUCGGUCUUAGUGAUCUGACGGUACUGAGUGGAAAGGCCGUCACUCAACGGAUAAAAGUUACUCUAAGGGUAACAGGCUGAUCUCCCCCAAGAGUUCACAUCGACGGGGAGGUUUGGCACCUCGAUGUCGGCUCAUCGCAUCCUGGGGCGGUAGUACGUCCCAAGGGUUGGGCUGUUCGCCCAUGAAAGCGGUACGCGAGCUGGGUUCAGAACGUCGUGUGACAGUUCGGUCCAUAUCCGGUGUAGGCGUUAGAAUAUUGAGAGGAGCCUUCUUUAGUACGAGAGGACCGAGAAGGACAUACCUCUGGUGUACCAGUUAUCGUGCCAACGGUAGACGCUGGGUAGCUAUGUAUGGAGUGGAUAACCGCUGAAAGCAUCUAAGUGGGAAGCCCACCUCAAGAUAAGUAUUCU
rnacentral:rRNA from 1 species